GAUGAAGAACGCAGCGAAAUGCGAUACUUGGUGUGAAUUGCAGAAUCCCGUGAACCAUCGAGUCUUUGAACGCAAGUUGCGCCCGAAGCGACUAGGCCGAGGGCACGCCUGCCUGGGCGUCACACGCCGUUGCCCCCCCAUCUACUCCUUCGGGAUUGCGGGGGGGCGGAUGAUGGCCUCCCGUGCGCCUAGCCGCGCGGUUGGCAUAAAUACCAAGUCCUCGGCGACGCACGCCACGACAAUCGGUGGUUGCGAAACCUCGGUUGCCCGUCGUGUGCGUUCGUCGCGCAUCGAGGGCUCGAAAAAAUGCUCGGCUCCGGCUGGGCUUUCAACGCGACCCCAGGUCAGGCGGGGUUACCCGCUGAAUUUAAGCAUAUCAAUAAGCGGAGGA
rnacentral:misc_RNA from 1 species